AGCGAACGCUGGCGGCAGGCUUAACACAUGCAAGUCGAGCGCCCCGCAAGGGGAGCGGCAGACGGGUGAGUAACGCGUGGGAAUCUACCCAUCUCUACGGAAUAACGCAUGGAAACGUGUGCUAAUACCGUAUACGUCCUUCGGGAGAAAGAUUUAUCGGAGAUGGAUGAGCCCGCGUUGGAUUAGCUAGUUGGUGGGGUAAAGGCCUACCAAGGCGACGAUCCAUAGCUGGUCUGAGAGGAUGAUCAGCCACACUGGGACUGAGACACGGCCCAGACUCCUACGGGAGGCAGCAGUGGGGAAUAUUGGACAAUGGGCGCAAGCCUGAUCCAGCCAUGCCGCGUGAGUGAUGAAGGCCCUAGGGUUGUAAAGCUCUUUCACCGGUGAAGAUAAUGACGGUAGUCGGAGAAGAAGCCCCGGCUAACUUCGUGCCAGCCGCCGCCGUAAAAC
rnacentral:rRNA from 1 species